AUUGAACGCUGGCGGCAUGCCUUACACAUGCGAGUCGAACGGCAGCACGGGUGCUUGCACCUGGUGGCGAGUGGCGAACGGGUGAGUAAUACAUCGGAACAUGUCCUGUAGUGGGGGAUAGCCCGGCGAAAGCCGGAUUAAUACCGCAUACGAUCUACGGAUGAAAGCGGGGGACCUUCGGGCCUCGCGCUAUAGGGUUGGCCGAUGGCUGAUUAGCUAGUUGGUGGGGGAGAGGCCUACCAAGGCGACGAGCAGUAGCCGGUCUGAGAGGGUGACCGGCGAGAGUGGGACUGCGAGGCGGACCAGCAUGGUAGGGGAGGCAGCAGUGGGGAAUAUUGCACAAUGGGCGGAAGCCUGAUUCAGCAACGCAGCGAGGGGGAUGCCGGCCUUCGGGUUGUAAACCGCUUGCGCCUGUGACGAAGGGUGAGUGAGGGUAAUGGGUAAAGAAGCACCGGCUAACUACGUG
rnacentral:rRNA from 1 species